rnacentral:lncRNA from 1 species
GGGUGGCUAUGUAAGUAGGACAAUUCCUCUUUCAAUGACCCAGCUUCUUACAAAAGAAGCAUUCUACCUGGCUCUUAUCAACUUUUGAUGUUUUGCUCUACUUGAGAUCGACAGCAUGAGAUUUCUGCACCUACUUCUUCUUUCCUCUCCUAGAAGAUCGACGAUCUGCAAAUGAACCUCCCACAACAUGCAUCAGCUCCUUCUGGAGCUGAUGAUCUU